rnacentral:rRNA from 1 species
UCGAGAAUCUUCGGCAAUGGGCGCAAGCCUGACCGAGCGAUGCCGCGUGCGGGAUGAAGGCCUUCGGGUUGUAAACCGCUGUCAGAGGGGAUGAAAUGCGGUGGGGGUCCUCCCCCAUGCUUGACAGAUCCUCAGAGGAAGGACGGGCUAAGUUCGUGCCAGCAGCCGCGGUAAGACGAACCGUCCAAACGUUAUUCGGAAUUACUGGGCUUAAAGGGUGCGCAGGCGGCCUGACAAGUUGGGUGUGAAAUACCUCGGCUCAACCGGGGAACAGCGCUCAAAACUGUCGGGCUAGAGGGAGAUAGAGGUGAGCGGAACUUAAGGUGGAGCGGUGAAAUGCGUUGAUAUCUUAAGGAACACCCGUGGCGAAAGCGGCUCACUGGAUCUCUUCUGACGCUCAGGCACGAAAGCUAGGGGAGCGAACGGGAUUAGAUACCCGUGUAGUCC